ACCUAUUUCAAAUUUACAUUAAGUUCUGUGAAUAAGGCCGUAAAAAUACAAUACUGUGAAGAUUUGCCAACUUAUCUUUACGUAUAAUGGACUCUUGGGACUUUUAAUGGCGCAAAUGAAAUCGGAUUCGAUUUAGACGGACUAUGUCUGGUUAUAUAUACUGUUUGGCCAGUAACUCAGCUUGUAGAGCAAAUAUCAUACAUGAUUGCGUUUGAUUAUCUUCCUCUGAUGAAGCAAAUAAAUCUACAGGAACCUACAAAAGGGACAAUUAUUAAGUCAACAAUGCAAUCUGUAAAUGGUCCGAAUGGUGUUGCCGCAAUGCAAGUGGCUUGGGCAUUGGCUUUUAUGGAAUUAUUUUGCAUUGUCACAUUUUAAUUGUGUUUCGAUAACAAAAACGCUCAGAAAUGCUUAUCUGUUGGAAAUUGACCACAACUCAUUGCUAAUUUUAUUAAUGUCUUUUUACUAAAUUAAAAUUUACAUAUUUUUUAAAUGUUUGUUAAAUUUACUAAAUGCUUGUUAUAUUUACUAAAUGUUUUUGUUUAAAUCACAAAAAUAUUAUUCAUUGAUGAAAUAAAGAUACAUUGUACCUAAA